rnacentral:rRNA from 1 species
CCUACGGGAGGCAGCAGUGGGGAAUAUUGGACAAUGGGGGCAACCCUGAUCCAGCCAUGCCGCGUGUGUGAAGAAGGCCCUCGGGUUGUAAAGCACUUUCAGUGAGGAAGAACGCCUGGUGGUUAAUACCCAUCAGGAAAGACAUCACUCACAGAAGAAGCACCGGCUAACUCCGUGCCAGCAGCCGCGGUAAUACGGAGGGUGCGAGCGUUAAUCGGAAUUACUGGGCGUAAAGCGCGCGUAGGUGGCUUGAUAAGCCGGUUGUGAAAGCCCCGGGCUCAACCUGGGAACGGCAUCCGGAGCUGUCAAGCUAGAGUGAAGGAGAGGAAGGUAGAAUUCCCGGUGUAGCGGUGAAAUGCGUAGAGAUCGGGAGGAAUACCAGUGGCGAAGGCGGCCUUCUGGACUGACACUGACACUGAGGUGCGAAAGCGUGGGUAGAAAACAGGAUUAGAUACCCCAGUAGUC